GGCCGCACCAUGAUGGCACAUGGACGUUCCCAGGCUAGGGGUUGAAUCAGAGCUGUAGCCGCCAGCCUACACCAGAGCCACAGCAAUGUGGAAUCCGAGCCGUGUCUAUGACCUACACCACAGCUCACGGCAAUGCCGGAUCCUUAACCCACUGAGCAAGCGCAGGGACCGAACCCGCAACCUCAUGGUUCCUAGUCAGGUUCGUUAACCACUGCGCCACGACGGGAACUCCCUCUUGCUCCUCUUUUUAUGCCCACAGAGCCCCAUGGUACCAGUCGCAGCUUUUUCACACUCAGUAAGGAGGACACCGGGGAGGUGGGUGUUUAAAGGUGUUCUACCUCACCUAGGAAAGUGUGACUUGUUUUGCAGAGUUUUUUUGUUUUGCUUUGUUUUACUAAAACAUACAAUGUCACAAAACUAUUUCAAGAGUCUAUGACUCAUAAAGAAUUUUUGCAGGAAAAAUUUCUCCCCAAAGAAACAACCUGCCAAUUCCAGCUAACGUACUACUCUCGCGUGUGCAUGAUCACUUAGAAACCUUUACCAGUACCUUACCCAAAACUCACACGAUCCAAAGCACCUGAGCCUUGGCUAAUCCAGGUUUGUCUUUAUACAAACCCAUCACCGGGCCUGGCCUGCGGCAUGACCGUGUGCAGGCAAGGCUCAGGGAAGAGACGAGGACAUAGCAAAAAAAUGUAGGGAGUUCUCUUGCGAUGCAGCAGGUGAAGGAUGUGGCAUUGUUGCUUCAGUGCUGGGAUUGCUGUUGUGGUGCGGGUUCGGUCCUGGCUUGGGAACUUCCACAUGCCCCGGGGGAUGCCAGAGAGAGAGAAGGAGGUGACGGUUCCUUCCUAGUUUGGGCUGUUUCCAGGUCAGGGACUCUGAUUGAACUCCAUUCAAUCAUUUACUCAUUCAACAAACGUGCAUUGAGCAUGUGAUGUGUGAUAGGCUGCACAAGCCGCUGGGCAGAUGGCGGUCACAUUCCUUGUCCUCACAGAGCUUAGAGUCUAGAAGGGAAGGGCAGCAUGAAGGACAAGGACAGGGCAACAUGUGACAGAUGUCAGGGUGGAGGACCUGUUGUAAAUGGAGCGGUCAUGGGGGCAGGGGAGCACUCUGGGGAGGUGACUGAGGCCGAGAUUGAAGAAGGCAAGCCGUGCCGAGGCUGGCAGUGUGGUCCAGGCAGAGGGGGGGCGGAGGAAGUAGCAUCGCUGGAGGCUGGUGGGUAGGCAGAGCUUGCCAGAUUCCAGGACAGAAGGUCAGUAUUGGCUUGGCUUACAUUCCAUUUGAUCCCGGAAAUUAAUCCUACAGCCUUAGGUUAAGUCACGAGGAGUUCCAAGAUCCUGCUUCUGAAGGUAUGUUGUUACAGCUAAGUGUCCAUCUAUGCUUAGCUCAUAAUUUUACUCCUGCGUGAAUUAAGAGCCACACGCUGCAUUUAUUUUUCUUUCCUUCAAGUUUCACAUCACAUUUGAAAACACUGAUUCUACAUGUUGUUUCGGUUCCCAGGAUACCACAGAAAGAAACAUGUGCUCCAUUUAUUUACCAUUUGACAUACAGAAUAAAAAAUAUUCGUUCUACUCACUCCUUAAGCUCCACCAACAUUAGAUAUGUUUUAGGGCAGAAAUAUACAAGGUCACAUGUGGUAUCUAUCUGUGGAGUGCAUUUCAAAGAAAGGCACGCCAACAAGCACAUUUGUAUGAAGGCUGUGAAGCAAGAUCAAGGUUGAGCCUGAAAUACCAAUGCACCACCGUCGUAGUUGCUUGUUAACUUGAAUUAACGGUGCCUGCUCUUCUGCAGUCAGAUUUCAUCUACACAUGCAAAGUGAAGUGGAGAAUUGAGUAAAUUAUCUUUAUAUGGGCCAGGCAAUUAAGACCAAAGGUGGUUAGUUAGCCUGAAUUAUCCAGAUUCUGGUCUUAGCAGAAGGCUGCAUCAGAAAGCCAGAAUGAAACACUUUUCUUUUUAACAAUGUUAAAUAAUCACCGUGUUGAUUGGAAGGGUGCUGGGAGAUGGCCAUCAAGGUUAAAGUCUCCCAAGGAAGGAACCAGGCCAUGAAGAAUUCAUGCAGGUUUGCCCAAAGAAGAGAGACCUGGGCAGUCACUAAAUUCCUGCAUGUUUCUGAAACCCAAAGAGAGGGGGUUCAGCUUGGACAAAGCACCUCUCAUAAUAAAGCUUCUGUUAAGGACAGGUUGUAGGGUUUUGCGAAACUCACUCUUUUUGGUACUGUCUCUUCUACCAUGCUCUGGAGCAGCAGUGGGCACAGACACCAGUGUUUCCCAAGGGAAAUGAUUCAUGUCCCAGAAUCUUAACCCUCAGCUCCAACGUGCUUUCCGAGAGUCUUCACACAAGGGUCUACUGAUGUUUGGUGGCUCGGGCUUUCCCCCUCUUACCUCGCCUCCUCAAGAUCCCAGUUACAGAAGUAAUGGAAGGGAAGGAUUUGGAUACUAUCAAGUCCAUAAAGCAGCUCUCUUACAUUUAAAGUUCAGCUUGGUGUUGGCAAGAGCCUAGGCUCAAAGAAUCACAGUCAAUGUUAGUUCUGUCCCUUCUUGGCGAUGUGUUUUUGGACAAACUGCUCAGCCUCUCUGAGCUGCAGUUUCCUAGAGGUGAAAUGGAAUCCUCAGACUUACUUUAUGAAAUGAGUUAGCAAAUUCAAUACCAUUGUAUGUAUUCCCUGUGUGGUACACAGGCACUCAACUUAAUUUCUUGCCCCUGUAUUUUAAAGAUACUUAGAGUAAGUCCAGGAUAGGAUCUUAAUAAACGUAUCUUAAAUGAGUUAGGUAGAUAGAGGACAGAUAGAUGGACAGACAGAUAGAUAAUAGGUAAAUAGAUGAUAUGUAGGCAAGUAGGUGAUAUGUAGGUAGGUAGAUAAAUAAAUGGCUAUAGAGAUGAUAGCUAGAUAGACAGAUGAUAGAUAUAUAUAGAGAGA
rnacentral:lncRNA from 1 species